rnacentral:rRNA from 1 species
AGAAUCAACGCUGGCGGCGUGCCUAACACAUGCAAGUCGCACGAGAAAGGGUAGCAAUACCUGAGUACAGUGGCGCACGGGUGAGUAACACGUGAAUGAUCUACCUCCGAGUGGGGAAUAACUGAGAGAAAUCUUAGCUAAUACCGCAUAAUACCCACGGGUCAAAGCAGCAAUGCGCUUGGAGAGGAGUUCGCGGCCGAUUAGUUAGUUGGCGGGGUAAUGGCCCACCAAGACGAUGAUCGGUAUCCGGCCUGAGAGGGCGCACGGACACACUGGAACUGAAACACGGUCCAGACUCCUACGGGAGGCAGCAGUGGGGAAUUUUGCGCAAUGGGGGAAACCCUGACGCAGCAACGCCGCGUGGAGGAUGAAGCCCCUUGGGUGUAAACUCCUUUCGAUCGGGAAGAUAAUGACGGUACCGAUAUAAGAAGCCCGGCUAACUUCGUGCCAGCAGCCGC